GUCGACGCGUUGGCCCAUUGAUUGAUGGUGCUUGCACCUGAUUGAUUUUGGUCGCCAACGAGUGGCGGACGGGUGAGUAACACGUAGGUAACCUGCCCAGAAGCGGGGGACAACAUUUGGAAACAGAUGCUAAUACCGCAUAACAGCGUUGUUCGCAUGAACAACGCUUAAAAGAUGGCUUCUCGCUAUCACUUCUGGAUGGACCUGCGGUGCAUUAGCUUGUUGGUGGGGUAACGGCCUACCAAGGCGAUGAUGCAUAGCCGAGUUGAGAGACUGAUCGGCCACAAUGGGACUGAGACACGGCCCAUACUCCUACGGGAGGCAGCAGUAGGGAAUCUUCCACAAUGGGCGCAAGCCUGAUGGAGCAACACCGCGUGAGUGAAGAAGGGUUUCGGCUCGUAAAGCUCUGUUGUUAAAGAAGAACACGUAUGAGAGUAACUGUUCAUACGUUGACGGUAUUUAACCAGAAAGUCACGGCUAACUACGUGCCAGCAGCCGCGGUAAUACGUAGGUGGCAAGCGUUAUCCGGAUUUAUUGGGCGUAAAGAGAGUGCAGGCGGUUUUCUAAGUCUGAUGUGAAAGCCUUCGGCUUAACCGGAGAAGUGCAUCGGAAACUGGAUAACUUGAGUGCAGAAGAGGGUAGUGGAACUCCAUGUGUAGCGGUGGAAUGCGUAGAUAUAUGGAAGAACACCAGUGGCGAAGGCGGCUACCUGGUCUGCAACUGACGCUGAGACUCGAAAGCAUGGGUAGCGAACAGGAUUAGAUACCCUGGUAGUCCAUGCCGUAAACGAUGAGUGCUAGGUGUUGGAGGGUUUCCGCCCUUCAGUGCCGGAGCUAACGCAUUAAGCACUCCGCCUGGGGAGUACGACCGCAAGGUUGAAACUCAAAGGAAUUGACGGGGGCCCGCACAAGCGGUGGAGCAUGUGGUUUAAUUCGAAGCUACGCGAAGAACCUUACCAGGUCUUGACAUCUUGCGCCAACCCUAGAGAUAGGGCGUUUCCUUCGGGAACGCAAUGACAGGUGGUGCAUGGUCGUCGUCAGCUCGUGUCGUGAGAUGUUGGGUUAAGUCCCGCAACGAGCGCAACCCUUGUUACUAGUUGCCAGCAUUAAGUUGGGCACUCUAGUGAGACUGCCGGUGACAAACCGGAGGAAGGUGGGGACGACGUCAGAUCAUCAUGCCCCUUAUGACCUGGGCUACACACGUGCUACAAUGGACGGUACAACGAGUCGCGAACUCGCGAGGGCAAGCAAAUCUCUUAAAACCGUUCUCAGUUCGGACUGCAGGCUGCAACUCGCCUGCACGAAGUCGGAAUCGCUAGUAAUCGCGGAUCAGCAUGCCGCGGUGAAUACGUUCCCGGGCCUUGUACACACCGCCCGUCACACCAUGAGAGUUUGUAACACCCAAAGUCGG
rnacentral:rRNA from 1 species